GAGUUUGAUCCUGGCUCAGAUUGAACGCUGGCGGUAUGCUUAACACAUGCAAGUCGAACGGAAACGAUACUAGCUUGCUAGUAGGCGUCGAGUGGCGGACGGGUGAGUAACGCGUAGGAAUCUGCCUGAUAGUGGGGGAUAGCCCGAAGAAAUUCGGAUUAUACCGCAUAAUCUAUUCGUAGUAAAGUGGGGGACUUUCGAGCCUCACGCUAUCAGAUGAGCCUGCGUAAGAUUAGCUUGUUGGUAGGGUAAAAGCCUACCAAGGCGACGAUCUUUAGCUGGUCUGAGAGGAUGAUCAGCCACAUCGGGACUGAGACACGGCCCGAACUCCUACGGGAGGCAGCAGUGGGGAAUAUUGGACAAUGGGGGCAACCCUGAUCCAGCAAUACCGCGUGUGUGAAGAAGGCCUGAGGGUUGUAAAGCACUUUCAAUUGUGAAGAAAAGUUAGCGGUUAAUAACCGUUAGCCUUGACGUUAACUUUAGAAGAAGCACCGGCUAACUCCGUGCCAGCAGCCGCGGUAAUACGGAGGGUGCAAGCGUUAAUCGGAAUUACUGGGCGUAAAGCGUGCGUAGGCGGUUUAUUAAGUCAGAUGUGAAAGCCCCGGGCUUAACCUGGGAACUGCAUUUGAAACUGGUCAACUAGAGUAUGGUAGAGGAAAGUGGAAUUUCUGGUGUAGCGGUGAAAUGCGUAGAUAUCAGAAGGAACAUCAAUGGCGAAGGCAGCUUUCUGGACCAAUACUGACGCUGAGGUACGAAAGCGUGGGUAGCAAACAGGAUUAGAUACCCUGGUAGUCCACGCCGUAAACGAUGAUAACUAGCCGUUGGGGGGAUUUACCCUUUAGUGGCGAAGCUAACGCGUUAAGUUACCCGCCUGGGGAGUACGGCCGCAAGGUUAAAACUCAAAGGAAUUGACGGGGACCCGCACAAGCGGUGGAGCAUGUGGUUUAAUUCGAUGCAACGCGAAGAACCUUACCUGGUCUUGACAUCCUGCGAACUUUCUAGAAAUAGAUUGGUGCCUUCGGGAACGCAGUGACAGGUGCUGCAUGGCUGUCGUCAGCUCGUGUCGUGAGAUGUUGGGUUAAGUCCCGUAACGAGCGCAACCCCUAUCCUUAUUUGCCAGCACAUCAUGGUGGGAACUAUAAGGAGACUGCCGGUGAUAAACCGGAGGAAGGCGGGGACGACGUCAAGUCAUCAUGGCCCUUACGACCAGGGCUACACACGUGCUACAAUGGGAAGGACAAAGAGCCGCGAAGCCGCGAGGUGUAGCUAAUCUCAUAAACCUUUUCGUAGUCCGGAUUGGAGUCUGCAACUCGACUCCAUGAAGUCGGAAUCGCUAGUAAUCGUAGAUCAGAAUGCUACGGUGAAUACGUUCCCGGGUCUUGCACUCACCGCCCGUC
rnacentral:rRNA from 1 species